rnacentral:rRNA from 1 species
CUCUGUGACUCCUACGGGAGGCAGCAGUGGGGAAUAUUGCACAAUGGGCGCAAGCCUGAUGCAGCCAUGCCGCGUGUAUGAAGAAGGCCUUCGGGUUGUAAAGUACUUUCAGCAGUGAGGAAGGUUCAUGCGUUAAUAGCGUAUGGAUUUGACGUUAGCUGCAGAAGAAGCACCGGCUAACUCCGUGCCAGCAGCCGCGGUAAUACGGAGGGUGCGAGCGUUAAUCGGAAUUACUGGGCGUAAAGCGCAUGCAGGUGGUUUGUUAAGUCAGAUGUGAAAGCCCCGGGGCUCAACCUCGGAAUUGCAUUUGAAACUGGCAGACUAGAGUACUGUAGAGGGGGUAGAAUUUCAGGUGUAGCGGUGAAAUGCGUAGAGAUCUGAAGGAAUACCGGUGGCGAAGGCGGCCCCCUGGACAGAUACUGACACUCAGAUGCGAAAGCGUGGGGAGCAAACAGGAUUAGAUACCCUGGUAG